UGGCGGACGGGUGAGUAACGCGUGGAAAACCUGCCGUAUACUGGGGGAUAACACUUAGAAAUAGGUGCUAAUACCGCAUAAGCGCACAGCUUCGCAUGAAGCGGUGUGAAAAACUCUGGUGGUAUACGAUGGUUCCGCGUCUGAUUAGCUAGUUGGUGGGGUAAUGGCCUACCAAGGCAACGAUCAGUAGCCGGCCUGAGAGGGUGAACGGCCACAUUGGGACUGAGACACGACCCAAACUCCUACGGAAGGCAGCAG
rnacentral:rRNA from 1 species